GUAGCAGAGGCUUAGUCUCCACCUCCCCACUGAGCACUGUUUUUGCCUCCCUUGAAGCAGCAGCUGCUACGGAGAGAGCCCGGCCUUGCAGUCUAGACCUGGACUCCAGGCCCAGCCUUGCCACUCACAGUGGCAACUUUGUGGGUCUGUUUCCUCCCUUGCAAAAUGAUUCCAUAUAAAACAGAUUCUGGGUCUGAUCACCGUGACUGCAUGCCACUAGCCUGCCUCAUCCUCUUAUCCCUCCUCCUUUUCUAUAGCACCAGCCGGCCACGGGCCAUGGCUAUCCUUGGAACAGAGGGUCGAGGCUCCUUCUCCUGCCCUAAAACCAAGACUGAUGGGAGCCCCAAGAGCACUAGCUCUCCGGUAACCACCUACCACCUGCAGCGGGCACUGCCUGGGGGCAUCAUCCUCAUGGAACUGGCAUUCCAGGGCUGUUACUUCUGUGUCAAACAGUUUGCCCUGGAAUGUUCCCGAAUCCCAAUGGGGCAGGCUGUCAACUCACAGCUGUCCAUGCUGUUCACAGAGGAGUGUGACAAGGUGCGGGACCUGAUGCACGUGCACUCGUUCAGCUAUGACUUCCAUCUGCGCCUCGUGCAUCAGCACGUGCUAGGUGCCCACCUGGUGCUGCGGCACGGCUACCACCUCACCACCUUCCUGCGACACUUCCUGGCCCACCACCCUGACGGACCCCACUUUGGCCGCAAUCACAUUUACCAAGGGACAUUGGAGCUCCCCACACCACUCAUUGCUGCCCACCAGCUGUACAACUACGUGGCUGAUCACGCCAGCUCUUACCACAUGAAGCCAUUGCGAAUGGCCCGGCCAGGGGGCCCAGAACACAACGAGUAUGCCCUGGUGUCGGCAUGGCACAGUUCUGGCUCCUACCUGGACUCUGAGGGACUUCGCCACCAGGAUGACUUUGAUGUAUCUCUGCUUGUCUGUCACUGUGCUGCACCCUUUGAGGAGCAAGGAGAGGCUGAGCGGCACGUUCUGCGGUCAGCAGAUCCCCUACCUUGAACAUGCCCAUUUCCCAGCCUGCCCCACCCUGCCCUGUGUGUCUCUUGCUACAACCACCACUCUCCUGCCCUGCUCCCCACCCCAGGCUACAGUUCUUCGUGGUGCUCACCAGCCAGCGAGAGCUCUUCCCCAGGCUCACUGCUGACAUGCGCCGCUUCCGGAAGCCACCCAGACUGCCCCCUGAGCCAGAGGCUCCUGGGAGUUCAGCUGGCAGCCCUGGGGAGGCCUCAGGGCUUGUUCUAGCGCCUGGACCGGCUCCUCUCUUCCCACCACUGGCUGCAGAGGUGGGCAUGGCACGAGCACGGCUGGCUCAGCUGGUGCGGCUGGCUGGAGGGCACUGCCGUCGGGACACCCUUUGGAAGCGCCUCUUCUUGCUGGAGCCACCAGGGCCUGAUCGACUGCGGCUAGGGGGGCGCCUGGCCCUGGCAGAGCUGGAGGAACUCCUAGAAGCAGUCCAUGCCAAAUCCAUUGGGGACAUCGACCCCCAGCUGGACUGCUUCCUAUCCAUGACGGUCUCCUGGUACCAGAGCCUGAUCAAAGUUCUCCUAAGCCGCUUCCCCCAGAGCUGUCGCCAUUUCCAAAGCCCAGACUUGGGAACUCAGUACCUGGUUGUGCUGAAUCAGAAGUUCACUGACUGCUUUGUGCUAGUGUUUCUGGACUCCCACUUAGGAAAGACGUCUCUGACAGUGGUUUUCCGAGAGCCCUUCCCAGUACAGCCCCAGGACAGCGAGAGCCCCCCUGCCCAACUGGUCUCCACCUACCACCACCUGGAGUCUGUCAUCAACACAGCCUGUUUCACCCUCUGGACCCGCCUCCUCUGAGGGAGUGGACUGGACCACUGAAUGUCACUGUUCCUUGAAUCAUGGGCCUACCAGAUUGCCUGCCAGAGGCAGGACUGACCAGCCCUUCUGGGCCCCAGGGCAAGCCAGACACUGAGUGACACCAAAGGCUUUGUAACUAUGUCUUGAGGGUCUGCUGCACCAGCCUGGCAGCAGGAACCGCCCUCCCCAAACACCCACAGCCACUGACCCAUCCAGGACUCCAGAGAGUCAGGUCAACCCCGAGGACCCCUUGGGCCCUUCUGGGGUACUCCUUUCGGCCCCCCUGGUAGAGUCUCGGGAGUUCACAUGGGGUGGCAAACACCCCCUAGAGCUCCUCUGCCUGAAUCCUGCCCCCUAGCCUUUGACCACUGUCAGCCACCUGUGUCCCUUGAGCCUUCGGGUCUUCACUUCCCACUUGGACAUCACUG
rnacentral:sRNA from 1 species